GGAUCCAUGACACGGGACCCAUUAAAGGGUCGAUCGAUUGGGCGACGAAGGCUGAAACCCUAACGUCUCCCGCAGCUCUUCGGUGCGCCUUCCUUCGUGUCGCCUCUCGCUGGAUGAUCUGUAUGCAUGGUUUUGUUUGGAGGACGCGAGCAGUAAUCCUGACGCAAAGAGUGCAGAAGAUCUGCUGAAGAUGAAGAUAAUGGAGCAGAAGACGAACGGAGAUGAGGCGAGGCCCGAUCGCCAUUUUUAGUGUUAUUCUAAGUAAAAUCGCGCGACCCUACAACCCUAGAUCGGUGGUGGGCCUCCCCAUUCCGACGGUGCCGCACUCUCUCUCAGCGGAAAGCCACUCUCGUUUCAGGGCAGCACAUGAAGCUGCACUGCAAGUUGAUGGUAUUCCUCAAGCAUGGGCUGCCGCAUUUCUGUAUAAAGAUGAAGAUGAGCAACGGUAGAAACGGGGCAAAGGGAGAUAGCAUGUUUAGUAAAUAACGUUAGAGAGCCGAAGAAAGCAUUGCCUCCCCUCCCAUUGGAAAGAUGUUGACACCGGUGAGGUGCUCUCCAUAAGCUUGAGUCUCCAGAGCUCCUCCAAACUGAGAGCUGCUGUAUCGGUUUUCUGGGAGCUUUUUGAUGUUUACUGCUUUGCGCUCGACGAUGAGCUAACGUAACAUCUGUCAGCCCGGUCAAUGGCCAUAUAGACAUAACCGGGUAAGGCGGUUUGGUUUGGGCAUACUGUACCGGUUAUCGUUGCAUGCGUGAUUUUAUUCUUUA